GCUUGAUUAGUGUAGAGGUUAUCACUCCGGAUUUUGAACUAAACUUCCGGCAACCCCGGUUCGAGUCCGGGAUUGAGCU